AUGAACCAUGCUGACAGUAUAUUGGUCCAAAUAAUUGACUCUUUGCCAGAUGUCUAUCCAAAAUUAGAAGCUUGGGUGGAGAAUGUGCUUUUGGAGGAGGGAAAUGCCACAAUUCUAACCCUCUUUGCAUGCCUCCUAACUGUGUUGUAUCUGCGCGAAAGGCAAAGACGGCAAGCUGCUGUUGUAGUUGGCGAGGUCGCUCAGCCAAAUCUCCCUAACGAGCUUGCUAUGCCAGCACCCAUGAGAUAG